AGAAUAAAAAUAAACCCAUAAAUUGAAAAUUCUAUCUAAAUGUUCUAAAGAUUUUAUUGGGAAACUGUAUUUUGGGGUUAAUUUUCUAGAAUCUUGUAUAAUGUGUUCUCUACUUAUCAAAUGCUAGGUUUGUAAUCUAAGAACCACAGCAAGAGUUAUGUUACUUUUUUUCUAAUUAAACAGGACUUGCCGUCUCUAAACCAGAUCUUAUUACAUGUCUGGAGCAAAGGAAAGAGCCCUGGGAUGUGAAGAGACACAGCACAUUAGCCAAACUUCCAGCUGUGACCUCUCAUUACACUAAAGACCUUUUGCCAGAGAAGAGCAUAGAAGACUCCCUUGCAAACUUGCCAAUGGGAAAAUAUGUGAUCCACACUGGAGAGAAACCCUACAAAUGUGAAGAAUGUGGGAAAGCCUUUCACAUUCAUUCACUCCUUACUCGACAUGUGAUGACCCAUACUGGAGAGAAACCCUACAAAUGUGCAGAACGUGGCAAAUCCUUUCGCUCUCGAGGAGGAUUUGCUGGACAUAAGACCACUCAUACUGGAAGGAAACCCUACAAAU